rnacentral:rRNA from 1 species
UCACGCUGGCGGCGUGCCUAACACAUGCAAGUCGAACGCGAAAGGGGAGCAAUCCCUAAGUAGAGUGGCAAACGGGUGAGUAACACGUGGGUGACCUGCCUUCGAGUGGGGGAUAACGUUCCGAAAGGAGCGCUAAUACCGCAUGACAUCCUGCCUUUAGACAGGCGGAGAUCAAAGCUGGGGAUCGUAAGACCUAGCGCUUGAAGAGGGGCCCGCGCCUGAUUAGCUAGUUGGUGAGGUAACGGCUCACCAAGGCGACGAUCAGUAGCCGGCCUGAGAGGGCGGACGGCCACACUGGGACUGAGACACGGCCCAGACUCCUACGGGAGGCAGCAGUGGGGAAUUGUUCGCAAUGGGCGCAAGCCUGACGACGCAACGCCGCGUGGAGGACGAAGAUCUUCGGGUCGUAAACUCCUGUCGAGCGGGACGAAUGCUUUGCGGCUGAAUAAUCCGCAGAGGUGACGGUACCGCUAAAGGAAGCCCCGGCUAACUCCGUGCCAGCAGCCGCGGUAAUACGGGGGGGGCAAGCGUUGUUCGGAAUUACUGGGCGUAAAGGGCUCGUAGGUGGCCAACUAAGUCAGACGUGAAAUCCCCAGGCUCAACUUGGGAACUGCGUCUGAUACUGGAUGG